UGUAACAACACCCUUCUUUCUGAAUUUAGCUGGAAAGAGGUUGUUCCAAAUGAAUAUCGCGAUAGAACUAUAUUAGAUAAUCAUGCUAAUGAAACAGCAGCUCACUUAGGUGUUUUUAAAACGUAUCGCCGCCUUCUAUUAAAAUAUUAUUGGCCUGGUAUGUAUAGCGAUGUCGUUAAGGCGGUUACUAACUGUCAAGUCUGCCUAGCCUAUAAACAACCUACUCAUGGUACUCUAGGUAAAAUGGGAAGACCAAAAGAGUGUUCACGUCCAUUCCAGACACUCUCUAUUGAUCUGGUCGGACCCUUACCCGUUAGUAGAAAACAAAACUGUUACUUGUUUGUGAUAACCUGCUGCUUUUCUAAAUAUUGCUUAUUGUUUCCUCUUAGACAGGCUACUUCUACGGCUGUCUGUAAAAUUCUAGAGGACAAUGUAUUCCUGGUUCAUGGCAUUCCUCAAACCAUCAUUAUGGAUAAUGGCUCUCAAUUUAUAAGUAAGCAGUUAGACACUCUACUAAGUAAAUAUAAAAUUCCAAACGUUCACUUUACACCAAAAUAUACACCACAGGUCAAUACAGUGGAAAGAUACAAUAAAACCAUAAUAACAGCUGUAUCCACACUUAUUAACAAUGACCACAGGGCAUGGGAUAUAUUUUUACCUAAGAUACAGUUUGCUAUAAAUAACUCCGUAAACGAAGUAACUGGCCAUACACCUUCAUUUCUAGUGCAUGGUCGUGAAUUGGUCACUUGCGGUUCACAUUACAUAGAAAAUGAUGUUUCAAACGAAAUUUUGUUUCUACCACGAGACGCUUACGCGGAGAAUUUGGGACAUUUGGCAACGGUUUUUGACCAAGUUCAAACUGCUUUAUGGCGUAGCCACCAAAAAACGACUCAACGUUAUAACCUACGCAGAAAAGAUGCUGAAUUCUCAGUGGGUGAUACCGUUUGGAAGAGGUGUUUUUUCCAAAGCGAUAAAGCUGCUCACUUUGCGAAGAAACUAGCUCCCAAAUUUGAGAAGUGCCGUAUUAUAGGUAAACGUUCCCCUCUUGUUUACAUCUUAGAAGAUAAAGAUGGACGUGAUAUUGGGGCCUGGCAUAUUAAAGAUCUCAAACUGAAAAUGUAUGAAGCUUAGCAACGCUAUUACGAUAGUUUCGAUUUAACUUAGGUUAAAUCUUUUCUAAGGAGGGGGAUAUUGUCACGAUUAACGUGAACUUCUCGUUACUAAUAUACUUAAACUUUAAAAUAAACUAAACAUUGUCCAUAAAAAUAUUAAACCUAAAAAUAAAACCUUACUUGCUAAUAUAAACACUACUUACUUAAACUAUAAACUAUAAAUAAUUAAAUACUAAAUAAAACUAAACAUAAUACUAACUUUCAAACAAAAUCCUAAUCCAUACGUCAUUUAAAUGUGCAUCGAAAUGUUACUGCGCUGUUCUCGCUAUUAAAAUCGUACGGGUUAUUUGGUGUUUUGUUUACCGCGUCUCAAAGUAAAAAACUGCCGUGAGGAUCGCACCGGCGGCGCCACGCAGACUAGCUUGGCGGCCGAGACGAGUGCGGUCGUCCCUACUGCAUUGAAUGCAAACCUAUUUCACGCUCGACUGAUUUCUCAAGUCGUUCAUAAGCGAUUUACUAUUUUCGCAUACUUCUAUUAGUGCUAGUAACACUUUACUACUGCAAGAUCAGUGUUAAUUAUAAUUAUUUCAACCCCUUGACCGGGGUUUUUAUGCCGGGCAUAAUAUUAAGGGCAGACUACACCACGCUCAAGCAAGGACGAAGCCAACUGAAGCUGUCAAACACCUACCUCAGGCCAGUGUUGGAACUACUUAACCGUCCCGGUGAUACCAAAUUACUUUUAAUAAGAAAGAACCUGACCCUGAGACUAUUUAAUUUUAGAUUUUUAUUAUUAAGAGAUAAUUGCAGAAGUUCAAUAAACUUAUUAUUUUGUU